rnacentral:tRNA from 1 species
GGAGCUGGAACUCAAUGGUAGAGUGCUUGCCCUGCAAAUAAGAAGGCCUAGGUUCAAUUCCCAGCACUG